UUCCGGUUGAUCCUGCCGGAGGUCACUGCUAUCGGGGUUCGAUUAAGCCAUGCGAGUCGAGAGGGUUCAGACCCUCGGCGGACUGCUCAGUAACACGUGGAUAAUCUGCCCUAUGGUGGAGGAUAACCCCGGGAAACUGGGGAUAAUACUCCAUAAGUCAGGAGUACUGGAAUGUCUCCUAACUGAAAGUUUCGGCGCCAUAGGAUGAAUCUGCGGCCGAUUAGGUAGUUGUUGGGGUAACGGCCCAACAAGCCCGUAAUCGGUACGGGUUGUGGGAGCAAGAGCCCGGAGAUGGAAUCUGAGACACGAUUCCAGGCCCUACGGGGCGCAGCAGGCGCGAAAACUUUACAAUGCAGGAAACUGUGAUAAGGGAACCCCGAGUGCCCGUACACGCGGGCUGUCCCGGUGUUUAAAACACAUCGGAAGAAAGGGUCGGGCAAGACCGGUGCCAGCCGCCGCGGUAAUACCGGCGGCUCGAGUGGUGACCACUUUUAUUGGGCUUAAAGCGUUCGUAGCUUGAUUUUUAAGUCUCUUGGGAAAUCUCACGGCUUAACUGUGAGGCGUCUAAGAGAUACUGGGAAUCUAGGGACCGGGAGAGGUAAGAGGUACUUCAGGGGUAGAAGUGAAAUUCUGUAAUCCUUGAGGGACCACCGAUGGCGAAGGCAUCUUACCAGAACGGCUUCGACAGUGAGGAACGAAAGCUGGGGGAGCGAACGGGAUUAGAUACCCCGGUAGUCCCAGCCGUAAACUAUGCGCGUUAGGUGUGUCUGUAACUACGAGUUACCGGGGUGCCGAAGUGAAAACGUGAAACGUGCCGCCUGGGAAGUACGGUCGCAAGGCUGAAACUUAAAGGAAUUGGCGGGGGAGCACCACAACGGGUGGAGCCUGCGGUUUAAUUGGAUUCAACGCCGGG
rnacentral:rRNA from 1 species